GUCGGCCCUAUCGCGGGGUAAGUUAUGGUCAGGGGGGACCCGCCUUUACGCGGCUAUUAGCGCAGAAAAAUGGCGACUGUAGUAGCUGUGCUCUCGCUAAACAGGCGAAAUCUUGUCGAAACAGAAUAUUUAGGGACAAUUAUAUCUUUACAAUGAUGUAGAAGUGUACACGAAAUUUGAAUUUCGUGGAGUUGAUAAAAUGUCUAUUGUCUAUGAGGUAGAAGGUGAAUUGGAAAUGUCGAAUCGAGGGAACAAUGUUCCCUCAAGCAGACGAGUAUGCUUUGCACUUCGCAACGGGAUCAUUUUUACGUGUGUGUGAAUGUGUGUGUGCGGCGAUUUGAUCGGAGUUUCCGAAGAGAAAUGUCACAUCGUGAGGAGAGUGACCAAACGCUACUACGACAUGCUCGACGAUGGAUCGUCUUUCCCGACUAGCGAGACGCAGAGAGAAGGGAAAGUUCUGUGCCAGCGGUGGUUUUUCCGAGUGUUGUUGGAUACAUCGACGGGACGCAUAUCCACAUUCAGGCGGCGAAAAUAAUGAGCACCAGUACGUGAAUGGAAAAUAUUUUCAUUCACUGAAUGUUCAGGUUAAUGUUUAUCAACGUGCUUGCAAAGUGGCAUCCAGGGUGUCUGCAGCCUUUGGAAGCAACUGUAGACUAUUGGACCGGGUCAUGCUAGGUGACAGUAGCUGCAUGAUAGGAGAGUGAUUGUUGACAUCAUUUCAGCAUCCUGCCCCCUUGCAGGAAAGGAAAUACAACACAGCACAUAGCUGUACAUGCAACUGGCAUAGCUAAAAAGAGAUGGGAUUGUCUCUAGGGUCUGAAGAUGGAACCAGAUCAGGCAUGUGAAGUGACUGUGUUCUCAAUCGGGGAGAGCCAGACAAUGAUGGCGACAAUAAUGAUGUUGGACAUAACAAUGAUUUAAAUAAUGAAAAUCACUACAAUAAAAUCAAUGACACUGUUUCAGAACAUGAUGCUCCCACAGAAAGAGCCCAUGUUGCAGCAGGCCAAGCUGUCAGGAACCAAUCUGUUUAUAGACUUUUCUUGUAAAUAUGUUAAACCAUAAUUUUAUACAUUUCAGAACUAUUUUGAUAACGAAGUUAGAACAUCAACAAUAGACAUAGUCAACAGUUUAGAUGUAGGCCCAACAUGUGUUACAACAGGUCAAGCUGCUAGUAUCCAGUUUAUAAAUAGAUUUUUCUUGUGAAUAUAUCAUAAUUUUAUACUUUUCUGUAGAGUUCACAAUAUCAGAACUAUGUGACUGUAGAAAUAGUUAAAUUUUCAUUCUUAUGAAACUUAGUAGCUGUUCAUUCAUACAGAUCUCUUUAGAAAGUAGCAAAUGCUUUUUAACUUUAAUAAAUGAAAGAUGCAGUUCUUCUUGGACAGGACAUUUCAAAAAAUGUAUGAGGUUUCCUUUAUGAAAUUAUUACAAGGGAAAAUUUCGACAUAGGCUUGCAGACAGUAGUGCAUGUGGUGGCCUCUGCAAGUGUUUGUCAAGAGUAGCGGUCAUCACUAAGACAUGUUCUUAAUGCUGUCACUUGGCUAUUAAAAUCUUAUAUUGUUCUUGAACAAUAUUUUACAUGUGCAACUCUUUGAAAUAAAUGUUUGAGGCUUCCA
rnacentral:lncRNA from 1 species